GCCGCCGUAGCGCAGUGGUUUGCUUGUCAGCCUUUGACGCUGAACUCUUGGGUUCGAAUCCUGGCGGAAACA
rnacentral:tRNA from 1 species